rnacentral:lncRNA from 1 species
CGAACUCGUCCCAACAUCCUGUCACCACAUACUAAAUGUUUAUAAAUUAUGAAAGUCAACGCCACAUUCUCAAUUCAUUACUCGAGCUGGUUAAUCAUACGUCAGAACACUUUGGUAUCUCAUCGAAGUAACAUCGUGCUCUAAAGAGUGUAUUCCAGAGUCAUUUUUAACUAAAAAUCUAUUAGAAAUCUCAAAAUUAUUGUUUUUUGAGUGUGUGCCUUGACAGUUUUUUAAUUUGUGAUACCAGCUUAUUGAUUGGUUUCUGAAUCCUAGAAGAAUAUUUUAUUAUUUUCGAAGAAUUUAUUCAGAAUUACGAUGUUUCGCUUGAUAUUUGCACUAGCUUUUCUAUUACAUAUACGUGGAGAUGAAAAUUCACCCUACGAGUAAUAUGCUACUACCUAUUAUGAAUCCUAAACCAGUUGAACCAAUCGAAUUACUAGAGAUGAUAUUCUGUGGAUGUAAAACAAACUGUAACACAUCCCGAUGUUCGUGCAAAAAGGCUGGAAUAAAAUGUAGUUACAGUUGUAAAAAUUGCAAUGGCCAAAACUGUGAAAAUGCUUCAAAUUCGCAUAAGGUCAUACUUGAGAGUGAUACAGAAGAGCGACAAGAUGAUAUAGAUGAUAUAGAAGAUAAUGAAAAUCUGUGGAAUGAUGAAAUAAAUGAUUUUCAAGAAGAAGAAGUUGAUGAAUCACAAACUGAAAAUUAAAACAUUUUGCUGAAAAAUUCUGUCAAUUCUAUUUACUAGAAUAAUAUAACCAUUUUAUUAUAUAUUAAAUUUUUACAAUAAUCAUAUUUAUUUAAAUUUGGCAGUUUUAUCCUUGUAUUAUUGAUGUUGCUUCAUAAUAACAUUAAAAAAUGCUAUCGUAAAUUUUUCAACAAUAAUUUACUUACAGCGUCAUUGGUGCACCGGUUAAAUCAAAUUUGGGAUGCAAGGUAAUGCCAUUUUUCUGCUCAUUGGAUAGCUAUAUUGGUCAAGCCGAUCUCGAGAUAUAAGCAAAAAUAACUUUCGCACGCUGUUUUCGCAUAGAACCCCUCGUUCUAGGAAGUUGCAAAUUUCAGAAUCGGUUUUUCCGACCCCGAUUUACCAAAAAUGCAGCCAUUUCUACCGCAGGGCGAUUUCACAGCUAAUUUUACUGGACUAUAUCUUCGAAUAUUCAAAUUGAUUUUAUAUAUCAUCUGGAUUUAAGUAUAUUGCUCCAAAACUCCGAAAAUCUUAUGGAAACAAAUUUUGUAUACAUAUGAUUUAGCAUGUAAUUAUCAUGUGUAAAAUAUUAUCAGGUAAAUAUCUCAAAUUACGUGUAACUCAAUUCUAUUUAUAACGUACUUCUUCCGUAUGAUUAUUAUUUAUUCAUAAAAGUAAAAGAGGCAACGGCUUUAACUAUUAUAAUGCAAUUAAUCAUUUUAAAACAUUUGCAGUUUAUUGAGGUUUGAUACUAAUAUAAUAUUAUCUUCCGUGGUAGUAUAAUCUAGAUAUCUACUUUACCAACAAUCGUUUAUAGUAGUAGUAAAAAUAUCUAUAUCUGGUAGUUCGAGAGGUUUUGCGGCUUAUUCGGUGGCGGCGACCAGAUGGCGGUGAGCUAGAUCUUCUGCUGGCGCGCAUUAUAUUAUAAUCUGCCAAAAACUUGAAUAAUAGUUCACUUGGUUUAAUAAUUUAUAGAUAUAUCUUUACGCAAUAAUUUUUUUUGCUGAGAAUAAAAACAAUCGACCAUAACUUCUUUGUAAAGGCAGAUUAGCUGAUUAUAGUCUAGACUUUGCAUUAUAUAUUUUUCAAAAAGAUUCUUCGAACAUCCAUUUUCAAAUUUAUUUCUAUCUGUGACGAGUGAUUAAUUUUCAUGCCAUACCACCCUUCUGCUUCAAACUUAUAGACCACGAGAGCAUCAGGAACUGCGUAUAAUCUUAAAUAAGCAAAAACCACAUGUGUUUUCCCAUAUAAGGCGUUCGGGUGUCGAACGCGCGAAGAUUUUCUAGCAGAUAGCAGAAUUGUCGAGAGCGCAUACAAAUAAGACUACCGGAACGCGCUAAAAAGAAAAAUAAUAAACCCCUCGAAUAGAUAAAAAAUAUCUCUUUCAGCCAGCACUUCCAGCCAAGCAUCCUCUCUCUCCUUGCUUCAAUGUGGAGAAUAAUAUGUAAUACGAUUUCUAUGCUUUACGUAAUACACGUAAUGAGAAUCAGAGUUUGAUAAGGGCGACAUCCGCAAAUAUUCUGAUGUGACUUCUUGACAAAACGACUUGAAUUUCAUAUUUUCGUCUUUGCAAAAUAGUAUAUUCGUAAUGAAACUGCGACUAAAGAUAUAGCCGUAGCCCACGUGCACGGGGUUGAGAAAUUUUGUACGUCUUCCUCGCACUGUUCGUCUCAUAGGAAGAUCCUUCGAAAGGUUUGUGUACAGAUAAUUGUGUAUGCAUACACGUGCGUAAAGGGUUGCGACUUAUACUUCGCGUGACAUCGGGUUGACGAGGCGGAGCGAAGUUAAUGGCCAGCGAGAAAGGAGCUGUUCGAGUUGCAGGACAGAGAUUUAUGAUGCGCUACUACAUGUAUACGCUGUCGUUUCGCUGUUUAGGGAAGCUGAAUAAGCAAAUCAAGCGUUUAUCGAUUUGAAAUUUUGAGAAGUGCUCAAGAUAAAAUAAUGUGGGUGUAUGCUUGUAUCUUCCGGUCGCGCAGGAGAUAAGACCGUCUGAUGCACUGUGAUGAGAAUCAAAACGCUGCAAUUUUCGUGCACUGCGAUAUUGGAUAUUAAUUUUAUUUUAGCAAAUAAUAUUGUCGUGUCCGAGCCUGAACGCGAUUGCGCGAUUCGAACACCAAGAAUCGCGCAUAGCGACCUUAGCAACGAGAUCAACGACAUCGCGGAUGUUAUUGUUUAUGUUUAGUCUGGUUUUGUCAGCUGUUGAGAACAAUUGUGUUUACGUUCGAAUAAAGAGUCCGAGUUCAAGAGUAAUUUUCUAUAAAUAA